rnacentral:tRNA from 1 species
GGCCUGAUAGCUCAACUGGUGGACUAGCAUCACAAAGGUCAGGGUUCGAUUCCCGUUCAGGCCU